rnacentral:rRNA from 1 species
AGUGAACGCUGGCGGUAGGCCUAACACAUGCAAGUCGAACGGCAGCACAGUAAGAGCUUGCUCUUACGGGUGGCGAGUGGCGGACGGGUGAGGAAUACAUCGGAAUCUACUUUUUCGUGGGGGAUAACGUAGGGAAACUUACGCUAAUACCGCAUACGACCUACGGGUGAAAGCAGGGGAUCUUCGGACCUUGCGCGAUUGAAUGAGCCGAUGUCGGAUUAGCUAGUUGGCGGGGUAAAGGCCCACCAAGGCGACGAUCCGUAGCUGGUCUGAGAGGAUGAACAGCCACACUGGAACUGAGACACGGUCCAGACUCCUACGGGAGGCAGCAGUGGGGAAUAUUGGACAAUGGGCGCAAGCCUGAUCCAGCCGUACCGCGUGGGUGAGGAAGGCCUUCGGGUUGUAAAGCCCUUUUGUUGGGAAAGAAAAGCAGCAGGUUAAGACCCCGCUGUUCUGACGGUACCCAAAGAAUAAGCACCGGCUAACUUCGUG